UGGAAUUUGUUUGAAAAAUGAAAGCCCAUGUGAGGCUAAAAGUGGUGAGCAGUGUACCUUGCAAGUAGUUUCCAUAGGUAUGUAAGACCUGGGAUGUCUCAGAGUGAUUCUGUUUUCUUUCAGGGAUACAGCCCUCCCUGGAGUCCUGGGGUCAAAAGCAGGGAAUGUGGGAUCAUGUGUUUCCCUGUAAAAUUAGCCAAAGGCACCUCUUGGUGGUAGGAUGCUUUAUGGGUACCAAUAUUGUGCAUCAAUGGAACUACCACCAAGCAAAGUGUGACAUUUCAAUUUAAAUGCUGUAGUGACAAGUCCUUCUGUAACGGACUAUAGAAGUGACCCUUCUUUGCCCUGUUCUACUCUAGUGCUGGUCAUUGAAUCAUGGCCCUUGAAUAUUCCAGCAAACAUUCUACUACUGAACCAUGUAUCAAACUCUACUC